GCCCAACAGCUAGCCCACUUAAACAAUAUCAACUAACCCCUGUUAAUAACCCCUAAGUACCCCAUAUUUAAAUUUAAACAAACCAUUUUUCCCCCUGAGUAUAGGUGAUAGAAAGGGGACGAGGCGCAAUAGAGAAAGUACCGCAAGGGAAUGCUGAAAGAGAAAUGAAAUAACCCAGUAAAGCCUUAAAAAGCAGAGAUUCAACCUCGUACCUUUUGCAUCAUGAUUUAGCAAGUGUACAUCAAGCAAAGAGCACUUUAGUUUGACGCCCCGAAACUAAGUGAGCUACUCCAAGACAGCCUGUUAAUAGGGCGUACCCGUCUCUGUGGCAAAAGAGUGGGGAGAGCUUUGAGUAGAGGUGAUAAACCUACCGAACCUAGUUAUAGCUGGUUGUCCAAGAAAUGAAUAGGAGUUCAGCCUCUUGACUUCUUUUUUCACCCUAGUCUAACCCCUAUUGAUGCAUUAAAGAAAUCGAGAGAGUUAGUCAAAGGGGGUACAGCCCCUUUGAAUCAAGACACAACUUUAUCAGGAGGGU
rnacentral:rRNA from 1 species